rnacentral:rRNA from 1 species
GGUUAAGCGACUAAGCGUACACGGUGGAUGCCCUGGCAGUCAGAGGCGAUGAAGGGCGUGCUAAUCUGCGAUAAGCGCCGGUAAGGUGAUAUGAACCGUUAUAACCGGCGAUACCCGAAUGGGGAAACCCAGUGUGACUCGUCACACUAUCAUUAACUGAAUCCAUAGGUUAAUGAGGCGAACCGGGGGAACUGAAACAUCUAAGUACCCCGAGGAAAAGAAAUCAACCGAGAUUCCCCCAGUAGCGGCGAGCGAACGGGGAGGAGCCCAGAGCCUGAAUCAGCAUGUGUGUUAGUGGAAGCGUCUGGAAAGUCGCGCGAUACAGGGUGACAGCCCCGUACACAAAAGCGCAUGUGCUGUGAGCUCGAUGAGUAGGGCGGGACACGUGGUAUCCUGUCUGAAUAUGGGGGGACCAUCCUCCAAGGCUAAAUACUCCUGACUGACCGAUAGUGAACCAGUACCGUGAGGGAAAGGCGAAAAGAACCCCGGCGAGGGGAGUGAAAAAGAACCUGAAACCGUGUACGUACAAGCAGUGGGAGCCCCACCACCAAAGCAUUCUCUGGUGUUGAAGGCCCUGCAAAGCAGCAUCGCGGUGGCGGAGCGUCGUUUGCGACGCCCAACACACAAAACAAGCGAUGAGUGCUUUGGGGUGGGGUGACUGCGUACCUUUUGUAUAAUGGGUCAGCGACUUAUAUUCUGUAGCAAGGUUAACCGAAUAGGGGAGCCG